GACGAACGCUGGCGGCGGGCUUAACACAUGCAAGUCGAACGGCAAGGCCCUGCUUUUUUGCGGUGCCCGAGUGGCGAUGGGGUGAGUAACACGUGAGUAACCUGCCCUUGACUUUGGGAUAACUUCAGGAAACUGGGGCUAAUACCAGAUAGCAGCCCCUGCACCAUGGUGGGGGUUGGAUAGUCUCGGCGGUCGGGGAUGGACUCGCGGCUUAUGAGCUUGUUGGUUGGGUAGUGGCUUACCAAGGGUUUGAAGGAUAGCCGGCCUGAGAGGGUGACCGGGCACAAUGGGACUGAGGGACGGCGCAGACGGCAACGGGAGGCAGCGGUGGGGAAUAUGGCCCAAUGGGCGGAAGCCUGAUGCGGCAACGCUGCGUGCGGGAAGACGGCUUGUGGGGAGUGAACAGCAGUCGCCUGUGACGAAGCGGGAGUGACGGUAAUGGGUGAAGAAGCACCGGCUAACUACGUG
rnacentral:rRNA from 1 species